AGGGUUUGAUCAUGGCUCAGAACGUACGCUGGCGGCACGCCUAACACAUGCAAGUCGAACGAAGUAGCAAUACUUAGUGGCAGACGGGUGAGUAACAUGUAGGUAUCUGCCCUUUGGCCUGGAAUAACACGAGGAAACUUGUGCUAAUACCGGAUAAGUCUUUACGGAGAAAGCUUUAUGCACCAUUGGAUGAGCCUGCACUUGAUUAGUUUGUUGGUGGGGUAAUGGCCUACCAAGACUGUGAUCAAUAGCUGAUUUGAGAGGAUGAUCAGCCACAUUGGGACUGAGACACGGCCCAAACUCCUACGGGAGGCAGCAGUGGGGAAUCUUGCACAAUGGAGGAAACUCUGAUGCAGCGAUGCCGCGUGAGUGAAGAAGGCCCUUGGGUUGUAAAGCUCUUUCGUCGGGGAAGAAAAUGACUGUACCCGAAUAAGAAGGUCCGGCUAACUUCGUGCCAGCAGCCGCGGUAAUACGAAGGGACCUAGCGUAGUUCGGAAUUACUGGGCUUAAAGAGUUCGUAGGUGGUUGAAAAAGUUGGUGGUGAAAUCCCAGAGCUUAACUCUGGAACUGCCAUCAAAACUUUUCAGCUAGAGUAUGAUAGAGGAAAGCAGAAUUUCUAGUGUAGAGGUGAAAUUCGUAGAUAUUAGAAAGAAUACCAAUUGCGAAGGCAGCUUUCUGGAUCAUUACUGACACUGAGGAACGAAAGCAUGGGUAGCGAAGAGGAUUAGAUACCCUCGUAGUCCAUGCCGUAAACGAUGUGUGUUAGACGUUGGAAAUUUAUUUUCAGUGUCGCAGCGAAAGCGAUAAACACACCGCCUGGGGAGUACGACCGCAAGGUUAAAACUCAAAUGAAUUGACGGGGACCCGCACAAGUAGUGGAGCAUGUGGUUUAAUUCGAAGAUACGCGCAGAACCUUACCAACACUUGACAUGUUCGUCGCGACUCUAAGAGAUUAGAGUUUUCGGUUCGGCCGGACGAAACACAGGUGCUGCAUGGCUGUCGUCAGCUCGUGUCGUGAGAUGUUGGGUUAAGUCCCGCAACGAGCGCAACCCCUACUUUUAGUUGCCAUCAGGUAAUGCUGGGCACUCUGAAAGAACUGCCAGUGAUAAGCUGGAGGAAGGUGGGGAUGACGUCAAGUCCUCAUGGCCCUUACGGGUUGGGCUACACACGUGCUACAAUGGUAGUGACAAUGAGAUGCAAGGUGGCGACGCUAAGCUAAACUCAAAAAUCUACCUCAGUUCGGAUUGCACUCUGCAACUCGAGUGCAUGAAGCUGGAAUCGCUAGUAAUCGUAGAUCAGCGUGCUACGGUGAAUACGUUCCCGGGUCUUGUACACACCGCCCGUCACACCAUGGAAGUUGGUUCUACCUUAAAGCAGAUUGCUAACCGCAAGGAGGCGUUUGACCAAGGUAUAGUCAGCGACUGGGGUGAAGUCAUAACAAGGUAGCCGUA
rnacentral:rRNA from 1 species